rnacentral:snoRNA from 1 species
AUCUCCCGAUUCUGCCCCACGCUCUGUUCUCUUCCAUAGAGUAAUGGGUUCUGUACGUUGGAGAAGAUCGAGUACCGCUGGAAUGAUGCAAACCUCAUAAAUUAUCAUUCAACAGUGUCAUUUCCAGCGGGCACUUCCAUUUCCAUUGGUGCUUUUUGUCUACUACCUUCUUACUUGGUAGUUACUACAAAUACCAGGGAAUACAUUU